rnacentral:lncRNA from 1 species
UCUUCAGUUUCAUUAGGUCCCACUCGUCAAUUCUUCUUGUUGCAAUUGCUUUUGGAAUCUUCAUCAUGAAAUCUUUGCCAGCGUCUAUGUCCAGAAUGAUAUUUCCUAAGUUAUCUUCUAGGGUUUAUAUAGUUUUGGGUCUUACAUAAGUCCUUCAUCCAUCUUGAGUUGAUUUUUGUAUAUGGUGAAAGGAAGGGAGUGUACAUGCCCCUGUGAUAUUGUUCCUAAUAUCCAGGUUGGGAGAGGAUAUUAUACUCAAUAUUGCAGGAGGUGUCGACCACCCUGAAUAUUACUUUUAAUAUCCGGGGAGAGAGGGUGAUAUUACUCUCAAUAUCAUCCUGUCUACACCUCCAGAGAUUUUGGGAGUAAUAUCAUCCUCUCCAAAUCUGGCGUUCCCUGGACAGGUCAUUGCCUCAGCCCCUGCCUGGUGUCCUGGAGCAGCUUUGAGGAGCUACAUGGACAGGACACCAACUGUCUGCAGCACCCACAUGCUCUCCAGGUGGAUGCUCACCCUGGGCUGUUCUCAGGCCCCUCUCCCCACACUGGGCCCACACCCUGGAGGGAACUCCAUGUACCCCUGCCCAUCUGCCCAUCUGAGCCUCAGGGGUCCUGGGCACUGAGAGCUGGGCUGGGCUGAGCUCAGGUACACACUGUCAUUGGGGAUGGAGAGGGGAUGCUGAAGUGGGUGCUUCUGCAUGGGGCCUGCCUGGAGGAUCGCCACAGCAGGUGCACCCAGCAGCCAGACCAGCUUCUAGCAGAAUAAGUGCACUGUCACAGGGGUAUGUGAGCUGAGGCUGGGGGCCUGGAGGUGCAGGGGGAGGAGUUGGGGAGAUGCAGAGGCCCCAAAGAUGUCCCAAGGCCCUAAGACACUGGUGAGGGAAUGGAGGAGCCAGCACUGGUGGGGAAGUGGGGAGGGGGAGAUGGAUGGCCUGGGUCUGAGCUGGACACACGGUCUGUGCCCACACUUGAGCUGUGCUGUGGAGGCCCAGUCCCCACCUGGGCAUGUCCUGUCCUCUGAGGCACAGGGAUUCCUCACCCUCAGCUCUGACCCCUCAUCUCCAACUGCUGGGAUGACGAGUCCAUAGGCAGAGCCAGCCUCACAGGGGACCCAAAGGCCAGUUCAGAUGGACAGCAACUGGAGGUCCCACCAGGCACACACACAUACUGUGCAGAAAGCUAAUGCACUGUUUAUUUGGGGGAUUGGGGGGAAGCACCGUGCCGCUGCUCACUGGUAGCCAGCCAGCUGCAGGAUGGUGGGGUAGCAAGUAUGAUGGGCCAUGCAAUUCUGGCGGUCGAGGAAGAGACUGUUGGUCAUGGCAGUGACGUCCUUCUCCAGGCUCAUGUGGAUGUCCUCGAGGUUGUGCAGGGACUGCUCCGCUUGUAGAAGCUUCUCCCACAGCGCUGUGAUGGACUUGUACAGCUCCUCCAACUCACUCACCAGCUUGGGGGUGUUGGGGGGUGUGAGCUGGGGCUGGGGAGGGAAGAAGUAUGCACCUACCGGGGUGGAGGGGACCCAAAACUCCCAAUGGGAGCUGGCAGGAGGUCCUGGGAAGACGCCAUGAAAGGAUCCCACCAGGAAAGUGGCUCUAGGGCAGAGCAUAAAUUACUAGGGUCCUCCCAGGGAGCGCGGGCCUGAGUGGGAAUGAGUGACCCGCGUGCAAUCUCGACCCUGGCAGGACAGGACUGGCCUCAGCCGACCAGGCUCAGUUCUUUCCGUUCCUGAUAUUUGACGGAAGGAGGCACCCAGUUCCUUGAAGGAACUGAGGGGCAGGGAAGGAAGAAAGGUACUUAGGCUCAGAAGGGGCCACUAGGCAUCCAUUAACAAGGGAAACAAAAGGAUGGCCCAUCUAUGCCUGUAGCCCAGGCGUAGGUCAUACUUUCCACCAGAGGUGGGGACAGCACCCUCAGGGCAGCAGGGAAUGGCCCUCCCUGGCCUCUCUGGCCCCGUGGCCUCCAGGAGCUCACCUUGUCUGAAGGAGCUUCCUCCUGGGAAGAUGAGGUAGCAGAGGGUGGGGUGAGACCACGUGGGCACAGGUCCCUGGCACUGGGAGGCCCCCGACCCAUGACCUGCCCAGUGUCAUGUCUAUAUCUGUGUGUUUAAGGCGUGCUUGCGUGUUGCGUGUGGCCGCAAAGUCUCCUUCCCAUCUCAGCACCUGUGGGGGAUGUGUGUGUGGAGAUUGGAGUGUUUAUUGGAGAAGGUCGCAGCGAGGAGGUGGACGAGGGCACCUGGGACUGCCUCAGAGGCCCAGGCAGUACCUGAAUUGGGCUGCAUCGCGGCACAGCUCCAUGUUGGGCCGGUGUGAGAGCAGGUACAGCCGGGUCUGGGCUAUGUGCAGAGGUGCCUCCUUGUCCUUGAUGGCCUCCUUCAGUGCCACCAUGUUGUGUUCCUGAUCUGUGAUUUCCCGCAGCAUCUGCCGACAGGACAGUGCCCCUUGGGCCUGUGCCCCCAUGCCCGGGCAUAUGGAAUGCAGAGACCAGUCUGGUCCUACCCAGGUCCUGGGGCUGUGUCCAGAGGGUGGUCCUGACCAGUGGCCCUGGGGAGGCGUGGAUGAGGGGAACAAUGUGCACGGGGCCCCCAGUGGGCUCUGGAGAGUCAGGCAGCCUGUUGUCUCUUAGCUCUGGUCCAAGAACCCCCAUCCUUGGUGGUCACCAGGACCCAAAUCCUGCUCAAGGACUGGGGACUCAGAGGUGGUAAAGGCCAUGCUGAGGCCCUAGAGUCAGAGCCCUGCCUGUCACGCCAGGACUCUUGGGGACCUCCCAGGCAGUCAAUGCUCCCCAGACCAGCUCCUGCCUCCAUCCUCCCCACAGCUCCUCCUGCUCAGUCAUGGGGGUUGCAACGCACUGCGAUCAUACCCAGUGUCACCUGGUUUUACAUAGGUUUAUGGAGAGGUGACACUUGCUUCUGGGGUCCCUCGGGUUAAGUGGGACAGAGGAGAAAGGUGUUGAGGGCCCAGACCAGGUGAUGAGAGGGGGCAGAGUGGUGGGCAGGCGCCGGAGCCAUCUUUGGGGUUCAGGGUGCCCCACCUUUUGCAGGUGGUGCUGCAGCUUGUGCCGCGCGUCCUCCAGUUCCUCACAGCGGCGCCCAAAGGCCAGGUUCACUGCGUCACACUGGAGUCCCAGGUCCUCGGAGGUGUCGCGAAGGAUGCAGUCCACCAGCACCCACAGGUUGGCUGAGUCCAGGCGCUCGCGCUGGGCGCGGCACAGAUUGUCCUGUGUGAACUUGGUCCGGGUCUCUGGGGUGGAGGCGCUGCGGGGCUGGGGACAGCCAGGAGAAGGUCGGGGAGGCUCUGCCAAUGGCUGGGGGCCCUGCCGCGCCCCCAUUCCCUGUCUGCACCCCAUGCUCCUGGAGGAACUGCAUGGACUCCAAUGCAUCCCGUGCAGACCCACGAAGCCCAGUCCCCCAAGCUCCCUGCCUCCGAGUUCCCCCCGCCCACAACUCCCCUGAGUCCACCCACACCCUACCCACCCCGGGCACUUAGUCCCCUCCUGCCCCCGUGACCCCGCUCCCAGCACCGCUGCCCCAGAGGCCCCCUCUGCAGCACCUCCGUCCCCCGCAACCCCCCUUCCCUAGUACCCAGCGCCCGCGUCCGCUUCUCGCACCCAGGAGUUUGCCAUGCUCAAGUGGGCGGUGGUCGUGCUCCCUCUGCUGGCCUUGGGUGGAAAUGCAAUCCUGCCGGCGCCUGGGGCUGACCGCACCCCACCCUGUCCUGUCUAAGGGCAACCAGGCUGUGCACGCGCUGGGCACUUGAGGAGGUCUUGCAUGCUUUCUCAUGCCAGGGGCAGACAGUUGCCCAAGUGUCUUCGGGGGCGAGGGCCUCUGGGCCAGGCUGGGGGAAGCAGCGCCGCUGGGGACCCCAGGCAGAGGGAGGCAAGACCACAGCCAGGGCAAGCACGGGGGCAGAGCUGGGGCCCCCCUCUCUUGGAAGGUGGUGGAGUGCCGGAUGAGCCUGCACCUCGGUGCUCUGGCUGCGGUGGCGCCCGCAAGUCUCGUCGAGGUUGUAAGCCUCCACCUUGUCCGACCAGUCCAUCUCGCAGAUCUCCAUGUGCUCUCGGUUCAGUCUGGGGCGGGGUGGGGCAGGGUCUUGGUGUGUGGCCAGGGAGGGCCCCGCUGGGGACCCUCCAUGCUGCAGGCUAGGCCUUUAUGCCCGCUUCAGGAGGGAGCUCUGGGCCGGCUGUCCUCGUGCUCAGCAGUGACCAAGAGCUGCCGCCCAUGCUGGGAGGCUGCAGAUCAGUUGUGGCACUGGGCUUUGGCCACUCAAACUCAGGCUGGGCCGGAAACUCCCCCACCCAGCCCUGUGCUCCCACUGUGACCUGGGACAGCCCCUGCCGGCUCUGAGCUUCAGGGCCCUGUCGUUCAAUGGCUUGCCCCAGGACCAGCCGUGGGUGGGGUCAGGAGUCAUCCCUUGGGCAGCCCUCGACCCACCGGAUCUGGCUCACUGCUUGCACGAUGACUCUCUUCAGCAGCUCCUGAAUGUUCCGGAUGAGCUCAGCUUCCUGAGGGAGGAGACGCCCUGAGCACCAGAGCCGGCCCUUGGUGAGGAUCCCAGGAGGCCCAGCUGCUGCAGGCCUUGGUCAACACCUGAGCAACCAGAAAUAGUUGAAUGCCGGGCCUGAGCUCUGACUGUGCAAGUUCUGCUCUCUCACUGGGUUUAUCCUGGGCUUUUGGGCAUUCUCCUUGGUGUGUUGUAAGUGGGGUGUUUUCCUCCAGGGCCUUCUAUGGGCUGCUGGGAAGGUCCCUCAGCGGCAGUUCCCACGCCCCAGGCCUCAAGAGUCAUCACUGCUGCUCACUCAGUGCACCCAGGAACGUUGGCCUGCCCCUGGCCUCUGGACAGCCCCUGAGGACCCAAACUCUGGGGGCCCAGAUGCCCACCUAGGCUGCCCCUCAGGGCUCUGUGUUGGGAAAGACCAUCCUCACACCAAGAACAGGAGGAAGACCAUGUGUUUCUUCUUACUGCCUGGCCAGUUUAAUUUUCUGUGUGUAGGAACAAGCCUUUUUCCCCUGUGACUGGGGUCUUUGCCUGGACCACCAGCUACCUCCUUGUGUGCCAGGGCCCGAGUCCUGCACCCCUCUGUCCCUGGGUUUGCCUCUUCCUGCACUGUCAGUGUCUCCAUCACUUCGCAGACACCCUUGUUGCUGGCAGAGGGUUUGCGGGAACUGCAGCAGUUCUUGAGGCACUGAGAGGGUGCAGGGGGAUAGGCCUGCAGAAGGGGAAGGGAGGGAGGAGGGAAGGCAUGAGGGGAG